UGUUUUUAGAAACAAGAUCUCAAUUAGAGUCCUUCUAUUAGUUGGGUAUAUCAACUGACGUAUGGUCAUCAUGAAAACAGUUCCACCUCAGUUGAUGUUUUGAGUUCAUAUAAUAAAAAUGUAUCUUUCACUAUCUUCCACAGCCCUUUGGUGCUGUCAGUUGCUUCCCAAGGAAAUAUGGCUGAUAAUACUUCGAAUGUUGGAUCCUCUCUCAUUAUUUUCUGCUUCUAAAGUAGAUCCAAAUUGGUUGUCCAUCUGUCUAGAAAACAGACUCUUAAAGAAAACGCUACAAUUUGGAUUACAACUCCAUAAUCGCAAAAUGUGUGAUGGCAGUUAUUCCAGUUUAAGUACAAUAAGGAAAGGAAAAAGGGACAGAGAACUAAAAAUCACUGAAUGUUUCACUCCACUUAAGAAACAAAGAAAUAUAUAAUAUUUUUAUGGGGAUAUGGGAAGAAUUUAUCACGAUAAUAUGAAAAUCUACAGUUCCAUUUGCAGCAGGCAAGUUACCUGCAGAUCUGAAGAAAUAAACAAAUUUGUUUGUGCAAAUCUCUUCGCCUUCCAAUGGCAUGGAAUGAAAAAUGGCAUGGACGGGGAUAUGGUGGUGAUAUCUUCCCCUUUAAUUCAAUCAGUACUGUCUGCAACAUCAUUUGGAUUAUUCGACUCGAAUGUUACAAAAAAGCAGCAGUGUGUAAAUGAAGUUUGAGAGAUAUUCUCAAAGAAGUGAAAAUAUUUUUUUGUUGAAAAUUGAUAAAUUUCUUUAGUGACAUUGAGUUUUGGAAACUGAAAUUUCUAUGAGAUACUGAGGUAGAUAAUAUGAAAAAAUUGAAUAAAUAUAUGGAAAAAUAGUGAAUCUAAAGGACUAUGAAAGUAUAUUAAAAUUCAUACCAAACAAA